AUGAGGCUCGGCGGCGGCAGCGGUCGCUGGCCUCUUCUGCACGUGCGUGCUCUGGGUCACGGCCUCCGGUUGCGGUUGUUGAAGCUUGUACGCCUCCGAUUCCUGUCGGGCCGCGUCAGGGGCAUGCUGAGCCAAGUGCAUCUUGCAGAAGACCUUCACCCCGUCGCUGACGGUGGCCUCCGGCAGCAGGCACCGGUACUCCUCCAUGACCCAGCCCGUGGACUUGCCCUUCUUCUUGAAGGACAGGUUCUUGACCUCGCCGACCUUGACUCCCGCGUGGCAAAUCUCCGUGGUCUUCUGGAUGGUUCAGGUGCCGGUGCCGGCGCCGCGCACGCUCUGGUGCUUGCUCCCGUUCUUGCUCUUGCACGUGGUGAAGAAGAACCGGUCGCCGCUGCUCACGGCCUGCGGCAUGGGCGCGUACCGGGCGGCCAGAUCCUUGGGCUCGCAGCCGGAGAUGUUGGCGCGGUGGAUGAGCUUGUCGACGCCGUGCAGCGUCUCGCCGGAGAGGAGGCGUGGUAG
rnacentral:rRNA from 1 species